rnacentral:rRNA from 1 species
GAUGAACGCUAGCGGGAGGCCUAACACAUGCAAGCCGAGCGGUAUUUCUUCUUCGGGAGAGAGAGAGCGGCGUACGGGUGCGGAACACGUGUGCAACCUGCCUUUAUCUAGAGGAUAGCCUUUCGAAAGGAAGAUUAAUACUCCAUAAUAUAUUAAUUGGCAUCAAUUGAUAUUGAAAGCUCCGGCGGAUAGAGAUGGGCACGCGCAAGAUUAGCUAGUUGGUGAGGUAACGGCUCACCAAGGCGAUGAUCUUUAGGGGGCCUGAGAGGGUGAUCCCCCACACUGGUACUGAGACACGGACCAGACUCCUACGGGAGGCAGCAGUGAGGAAUAUUGGUCAAUGGGUGCAAGCCUGAACCAGCCAUCCCGCGUGAAGGAUUAAGGUCCUAUGGAUUGUAAACUUCUUUUGUAUAGGGAUAAACCUACCCUCGUGAGGGUAGCUGAAGGUACUAUACGAAUAAGCACCGGCUAACUCCGUGCCAGCAGCCGCGGUAAUAC